rnacentral:rRNA from 1 species
AGGUAGCUUGCUACCAGGCGUCGAGCGGCGGACGGGUGAGUAAUGCUUAGGAAUCUACCGAGUAGUGGGGGAUAGCCAUUGGAAACGAUGAUUAAUACCGCAUAUAUCCUACGGGGGAAAGCAGGGGACCUUCGGGCCUUGCGCUAUUCGAUGAGCCUGAGUGAGAUUAGCUAGUUGGUGGGGUAAAGGCCUACCAAGGCGACGAUCUCUAGCUGGUCUGAGAGGAUGAUCAGCCACACUGGGACUGAGACACGGCCCAGACUCCUACGGGAGGCAGCAGUGGGGAAUAUUGCACAAUGGACGAAAGUCUGAUGCAGCCAUGCCGCGUGUGUGAAGAAGGCCUUCGGGUUGUAAAGCACUUUCAGCGAGGAGGAAAGGUCAGUAAGUAAUAUUUGCUGGCUGUGACGUUACUCGCAGAAGAAGCACCGGCUAAUUUAGUGCCAGCAGCCGCGGUAAUACUAAAGGUGCAAGCGUUAAUCGGAAUUACUGGGCGUAAAGCGCGCGUAGGUGGUUUGUUAAGUUGGAUGUGAAAGCCCAGGGCUCAACCUUGGAACUGCAUUCAAAACUGACUCACUAGAGUACGAGAGAGGUUAGUGGAAUUUCCUGUGUAGCGGUGAAAUGCGUAGAGAUGGGAAGGAACACCAGUGGCGAAGGCGACUGACUGGCUCGAUACUGACACUGAGGUGCGAAAGCGUGGGGAGCAAACGGGAUUAGAUACCCCGGUAGUCCACGCCGUANACGAUGUCUACUAGCCGUUGGAGGACUUGAUCCUUUAGUGGNNNAGCUAACGCGAUAAGUAGACCGCCUGGGGAGUACGGUCGCAAGAUUAAAGCUCANAUGAAUUGACGGGGGCCCGCACAAGCGGUGGAGCAUGUGGUNNNAUUCGAAGCAACGCGAAGAACCUUACCUACUCUUGACAUCCAGUGAACUUUUGAGAGAUCAAUUGGUGCCUUCGGGAACACUGAGACAGGUGCUGCAUGGCUGUCGUC